rnacentral:rRNA from 1 species
UGCGGCCGCGAUACCGGUUGAUCCUGCCGGACCCGACCGCUAUCGGGGUGGGGCUAAGCCAUGGAAGUCGCACGUCCACCAAGUGGUGGACGUGGCGGACGGCUGAGUAACACGUGGCUAACCUACCCUCAGGACGGGGAUAGUCCCGGGAAACUGGGGCUAAUCCCCGAUAGGUGGGGAUACCUGGAAUGGUCCCCACCGAAAGGGUCGGGCUGCAAUGCAGGUCCGACCGCCUGAGGAUGGGGCUACGGCCCAUCAUGGUAGUUGGCGGGGUAACGGCCCGCCAAGCCGAUAACGGGUAGGGGCCGUGAGAGCGGGAGCCCCCAGAUGGGCACUGAGACAAGGGCCCAGGCCCUAUGGGGUGCACCAGGCGCGAAAACUCCGCAAUGCGGGAAACCGUGACGGGGCCACCCCGAGUGCCCCGAAGAGGGGCUUUUCCCCGCUGUAAG